rnacentral:rRNA from 1 species
AUUGAACGCUGGCGGCAGGCCUAACACAUGCAAGUCGAGCGAGCGGCGGCCGGGUGAGUAAGGUAUGGGAACAGCCCGAUAGAGGGGGAUAACUACGGGAAACGGUAGCUAAUACCACAACCGAUCGGAUACCCCAUCAGGGAUUCGCUCGUAUGUGAGGUAAUGGAUCACCUAGGAGACGAUCCCUAGCUGGGCUGAGAGGAUGAUCAGCCACACUGUGACGGAGACACGGCCCAGACUCCUACGGAGGCAGCAGUGGGGAAUAUUGGACAAUGGGCGCAAGUCUGAUGCAGCACUGCCGCGUGAAUGAAGAAGGCUCUAGGUUUGUAAAGUGCUUUGAGUCGGGAGGCGGUACUGACAGAAAAAGCACCGGCUAACUACGUGCCAGCAGCCGCGGUAAUUC